AAUUUGCGUUAGGGAUUGAAGCGGCAUCCUUUUUUGUUUUUCACAAAAAAGAUAUAGCGUAAAGCCCGACCUUUA
rnacentral:sRNA from 1 species